GCUUAGAAAACAGAGAGGGUGAGAGAGACGGACUCCGAGUCUUGACCUAAUGAUCAGAGAAAUAAUCAAGAAAAAACGGAGAAUGAACAACGAGAAGAUUGAAUUUGGAGGACUGUUUAUGUGUCUGAGAAAUAUCUCGCAGCGCUAUUCGUUACUUCUGGGCAAAAUUUGUUUUGCGUUUAUCGAGUUCACUGAUGAAGGUAGUGUGGGUUGCCCAUAUGCCGAGAUUAUGAAGACUUAUAUGUUGCAGUUAUGGUGCGCAGGCUAGCUGCUUCGAGUCUUGCCGGGACAAUGCUUGGAUGAGGGUGCAUGUUGCCUUCUAACACAGCUAUUGCACAUGUUAGCCCAACAGAGAUUCUAGCUCGAAGGUUUUACCUUUCGAUUUUUGUUCUCAAGAAUUUAUUUGAUCUUAGGAAAAUCAAAUUGUCAAAUUGUGUGUGUUUGUCUGGGGUGUGAGAAAGUAAGAGUGAGUUUAGAAUUGGAGGUGUGUACUCUGAUCAUUUAACCUUUACUUGGAAUUAUAUUGAAAAACAAACUUAGUGAGCUAUAGAUGGCUUGGAAAAUUUGGUGAAAGAGACUCACAGGGUGCUGUACUGUAUAUGAAUAUUUCUUGAAAUGUAGUCAUAUAUAUGCUUCUUCUUUUUUUAUCUUGCUUCCAAAUAUGCAUGCAAUUUGCUUCGACAAGGAAUGAAACAAUUAAUAAUGAACUCAGAGACCCCUAAAGCUAAAGCGUUGGAGAAGGUGGAGGAUAAGUCCAAAUGAGAACUCUGCAGCAUUGGCUUUUAUCAUUAAUGAGAUUUCACUCGCUUACACUUUAGAGGGCAAAAACAAUACUUAAUAAGUCAGUAACUGGGAGUGUAGCUGCAGACGGGAUGUGCAAGUCACCUUCUAAAGAUCAAUCUCUUACUGCAAAUGGAAGCAAGCCACGAUUUACAGGAGACUGGUUAUUGAGCGAAGGAGAAGAGGACGGCUUUGGAUCUGGGUCUGUUUUAGCUUCCUGCAAGUGCAAUGGGUAAUUGGGAAACUGUUACUGUGAAUAUCAAGAGUCCUUUUUUGUUUGCUAUGAAUCUGGUUUUGUGUACUUCGUCAGUUUGGUUGUGUAUGUCUUCAAAUUAGGUAUGCAUGUAGUUCUUCUGUUUUGUCACUUUGAGUAGUUGAAUGAAGUUGAAUAGCUUUUUUAGUAUUAUUGUCCAUUUGUCCCUAUGUAUCAAAAUCAACCUUGCACCAAUUGUGUUGUUAAAUUCUUGAAUCUUUCAUUUUCUUGAGUUGGGUAGUCUCCGUGGUGGUCACAUUAACCCUUCUAAGCAAGGACCCAACCUACAUCUUAUUUUUAUUUCAGCACUGUUUAUAUCUACAAACUUGAGUAGUUGUUUAUAGCUAAACACUGUGAUUGUUUUAUGUGUAUCUGGUUGGAGAACAAAACUGGAAGCAGGGUAGAAGAUUAAAAGGCUGCUGCUAUGAAUAGAGAUAGCAAGAUGCUCCGAUAGGGGUAAUUGAAGCAAAUGAGAAGCAUAGAUAUCAACUUGAGGAGGCCAUUAGUAACAUAGCUGCAUUUUCUCUCCCAGUAUUUGGUUGUUGUUACUUUGCAUUUCUUUUCCUUUUUGUACUCAUCAAGAGUUCUAUAGCUGGACCAGAAUGUUCUAUUUUUGUCGAAUUAUUAGUCUAUUACGUAUAAAAUUCAUGAAAAAAGAACCAAACCCGCAGCAAAGCGCUGACGCUUUUUCUAGUGCAUAUUAUUGGAGGGUUGUUA